UUUUAAAUUUUAUAGAAAUCUAAAACUAAUUGAUUCUCGAAGACCCUUCUGAAAUUUCUUACACGUCCUGAUUUCUGCACCUGAAAACUGUUCAGAAAACUGUUUGUGCAUCCUUGGAAGAAAUAAACUUUUCCAUCUAUAGGAGAAUCAGAAAUUCAUGAAAUUUGAUGAUUUGAAAAUUAUAUUUGAUAAGGAAGAUUUUUACAAGUAGAAAUCU
rnacentral:lncRNA from 1 species